CUAGAAAGAAUGAUAGAAUGGAGUAACCAGUUCUGACAUUAAAAACUGCUGGUGUAACAUGAGAGCAAUCACACGCGUUACCAAUUUUUAUUCCUUUCAAGAAUUAAUACAAUAAUUCUUUUAACUUGGAAGUCGAAACAUUAGCUCUCAGUGACUAUGCAAAGCAUUAAAUAUCAACAAAGAAGGAACACAAGUGUUCAUAUAAAAAGUAAAUCUGAAAAGCCAUUGGAGAAGUUUGAGAGAAUCAGUAUUUAAAAUAACAAGUUGCCAUUUCUAUUUAGAUUUACUCACAGAUACUUGGUAAAGUAAUAUUUCUUUUUAUCUUACAGGAAAAGCAUGCAAAGAUAUUACAUAAUCGCUUUUCAUAAAAGGUACACUUGGAUCAAAGUGAUGACAAGCAUCCGACAAAUUGAAUCCAGAUUCAUAAUUAGCAAGUUUUUUGUUGAUUUCCAUCUAUAAUUCACAAUAUUCAUCUCUAACCUUUUCCUUUAACUAUACGCAGAAAGAAUAUGCCAUUUUGGUGAUUUUGGAGUCUAUCUUAAGUCUCUUAUGAUUAGGUAUCCAUACACAAUCCAAAAGUUCAAGCCAUCAAUGAAGGAAUUUAUUGAACAUAAUUCGUAGAUUUUUAUUCUCAACGCCUAUGUUCCAUCAAGAAAACCCCAUGCAACAUGCCUUGAUGACUAAAUAUUGAUCAAUGCUUUCCUUUGAUGUACUAUAUUAGUCUAGUGUGAAGCUAAAGAACUUUAUGCGGGGAAGUUAAGGUUCCUUUCUGGUUCUUCAUGAUAAAAUACAUGUUCAAAAUGUGAUGAAUUAAUGUAACGCAAAAGAAAUGCUGAAGUAAUAGGACAAUUCGUAGAACUAUUCUGUCUAAUGAACUUCAGAAAGAAUAUAUUCAACCUGGUUUCGCUUGCAUAAAGUUCUAGUGAGUCCCUGGGAUCAGCAUGGCUCUCAUUCGGGAUCUAGCAAUACAAGUUUAGGUGGAAACUUCAUAUUCUUAAAAGAUGGCAAAGAUUCUUUUAUUUUUUUCUGAAAGCAAGGAGAAAGCUGCAGGAGUUGCACAAAAGCUACCUAUAUACAACAGAAAGUCUCUGUUUAAUGCCUAAAAUUGUUGUAAAGUUCUAGGGCAUGUUUAUUGAACAGAAUUAAAAAGUAUUGGACAGGCCAAAAACAAUGUUAGCUUCUCUUUCUUCCUCAUUCCUAUCCAGUCUGAUGCAGCCCAUGUAUGGAAAUUAUCAAAUUUUUUGGUAGUUUUAGAUUUUUUUUCCUUUGAUUAAGGUUUUGUUUUCGGAAGAAUUUCAAUUACGAUCUUAGAUUAGGACUUUUAUUAUGAUAUUUUCGAAUUUCCUUAAAAAACAGAAGUAUAAAUAGGACCGCUCAUGUCUUCAGAAAAGUGGACUCAAUGAAUUAUGAAAUGAAAAAUUGAGUGUUCUCAGUUAUGUCUCCGAAUUCUCGGUAUUCUAUGUGAAUCAAUGGGUCUUUGAUGCCUAAGUUUCUAGCAUUCAUUGGUGAAUCAUCACGAAUUAGAAGGUUGUUUGUGAAUGCUGUUUUCUCACUCCUGUGCACUAUCCUGCAUCAAGUAUUGUUGAAUCCAGCCAUCGAAACCUACCCAUAAGAACAUUUUAUACUGCGGCACAUCCUUACGCAUGCAGUAUACGGUAGCUCCAGGGAGAUAACUUAUCAGAAAGAAGGCUGCUAAAGGAACCUCGUAAUUGGAAAAAUGAUACGUUAUUUCUCUAAUAUUAUGAAAUUGCUUACCUUGGCUUGCCAUUUAGUGAGCUGCCUGCAACUUUGGAUUCUUAUGCACUUGUGGCAUAAGGAGCUAGACCAGGUAAAAUUUCGAACUUCAAGAAUUAGUCAUUGCAGAAAAUCCGCAGAAAAUUUGCUCAGAGACAACAACUUCAGAGAAAAUGUUAUCAAAGAUAGAAUAGUAUCAUGAUCAACAGAGAAGGAAGAAUCAUACGUUACCUUCAAGGGCAGGUACCUCAUGAUUUUCUGGUUUGUGCUGGACUAAAGAAGACAUUACGGGCAUAUUUGAUUGAGAAGAGAAUUAAGGGAGAAAAGUAAAUUAAAAUAUUGAGUUGAGUUCUGUCUAAUACUACGCCUCAAACAUGCCAUACAUUGUCAAUGAGGAAUGGAUAAUCCGCAGCCCAAGGAUUAGAUGCAAUAAGUAGAUUAACCAUCUAAACCUCAGGAUGCAGAUUACCUGAUCCUCACCCAAUAUGAUUCGUGGUUCAACAGAAAUGAAUAAAAGAGGAAAACAAGAAUAGACUUAUUAGUUUCAUGCAGAAGAGGUUGGAUGACAAAAAAUAUGCAUGGGAGAGAUGAAUUUAUAAUCCUUGAUAAAGCCAGCACAUAAAAUUCUUCAAUUAUACGUUGGUGUGUUGUAAAAAAGCAAGUAGUAUAAAGCAUUAUAAAAUGUUGUCAUCUCUAAUCAUCGAAGUCGAUUCUGUUCCCUGCUAACCAAUGAUAUGGUAAGAACCUUACUUUUCACAGAUAACUAUAUUUCUUCCUUGACUGCUUUAUCAACAGGACCAGAUCGCACCCUGGCUCGAAAUUCAUAAUAUUCUGAGCGAUGUAGAAAUUCAGGAGGAAAAAAAAAAUGAUCACAGAGUUGUCCUGACUCCCCAGUAAAACAGUAUUCCAGAAGAAACAAGGAUACCAUUAUCAAGAGUGCAUUCUACCACUGAGCUAAUACGUGAGCUUCCUAGUGGGGUCCCAUUGUGCCAAAAGUGAGGAAUAAAUUGAGACCGACUCAAACAGAGUAGAAUCUUUCAUUGUUCUAGUUAAUCAUUGUACUUAUUCAGGAAUUUUAAUCUCCAUGAACUCAUACAUUCAAUUAGGAAAGGGAAAAGGCAAGAUUUGCAAGUCAGAAUUCAUGAUCUUCUUUAGCUUUUAUACAUUUUACAUAAUCUAUUCCCUCGGUAAUUAGAAGGCAAAGUUUUUGGCCUUUAAAUGGCUAGUUUAGAGACAGUUUUUGA
rnacentral:lncRNA from 1 species